GACGAACGCUGGCGGCGUGCUUAACACAUGCAAGUCGAACGGAAAGGCCCUGCUUGCAGGGUACUCGAGUGGCGAACGGGUGAGUAACACGUGGGUGAUCUGCCCUGCACUUCGGGAUAAGCCUGGGAAACUGGGUCUAAUACCGGAUAGGAGCCAUUUUUAGUGUGAUGGUUGGAAAGUUUUUCGGUGUAGGAUGAGCUCGCGGCCUAUCAGCUUGUUGGUGGGUAAUGGCCUACCAAGGCGGCGACGGGUAGCCGGCCUGAGAGGGUGGACGGCCACAUUGGGACUGAGAUACGGCCCAGACUCCUACGGGAGGCAGCAGUGGGGAAUAUUGCACAAUGGGCGCAAGCCUGAUGCAGCGACGCCGCGUGGGGGAUGACGGCUCGGGUUGUAACUCUUCGCUAGGGACGAAGCUUUUUUUGUGACGGUACCUAGAUAAGAAGCACCGGCUAACUACGUGCCAGCCGCCG
rnacentral:rRNA from 1 species